UACGUAGGGGGCAAGCGUUGUCCGGAUUUAUUGGGCGUAAAGAGCGUGUAGGCGGCCAGGUAGGUCAGCUGUGAAAACUCGAGGCUCAACCUCGAGACGUCGGUUGAAACCAUCUGGCUAGAGUCCGGAAGAGGAGAGUGGAAUUCCUGGUGUAGCGGUGAAUGCGCAGAUAUCAGGAAGAACACCCGUGGCGAAGGCGGCUCUCUGGGACGGUACUGACGCUGAGACGCGAAAGCGUGGGGAGCGAACAGG
rnacentral:rRNA from 1 species